rnacentral:rRNA from 1 species
CACGUAGGGUGCGAGCGUUGUCCGGAAUUAUUGGGCGAAAGAGCUCGUAGGCGGUGUGUCGCGUCGGCCGUGAAAACCUGCAGCUUAACUGUGGGCUUGCGGUCGAUACGGGCAUCACUGGAGUUCGGCAGGGGAGACUGGAAUUCCUGGUGUAGCGGUGAAAUGCGCAGAUAUCAGGAGGGAACACCGGUGGCGAAGGCGGGUCUCUGGGCCGAUACUGAC